GGAGAAGAUCAGAGUGUGAAAGAAAGAUUCAGUGACUCUGAAUGUGUUGAAAGGAGUUUUGGGUGGAGCUCUGCAGGAUUUGACAGAAAUGCUCAUCUGUCUGCAGUUUCAUUUGCUGUUUGUUGUGCAAAGAUGAUGCUUCACUGCUGUCUGCUGGUGUUGUCAGUAACACAAUAUACACUGGCACAGUCAAUAAGACCACUGCAGAGCGAUGUUUAUAUCACUGAGAGGACUCCAGUCAAGCUCUCAUGCAAAUAUGAUGGCAGUGUAUACAGUCUGCAUUGGUAUCCACAGUAUCCAGGAGCAAAACCUGAAUUUCUGCUUCUUGUAUUGAAGUCAGCUACAAAAUCUGUAACAUAUGCAGAUCCUAAAAUCCCCGGAAUGGAUGGGGAAAUGAGUAUAAGUGAACAACAAGUAGAUCUGGAGAUCUCCUCUGCUGCAGUAUCAGACUCUGCAGUGUAUUACUGUGCCCUGCAGCCCACAGUGACAGGAAACACACAAACACUGUACAAAAACUGUCUGUUCAUUACCUUCUCAUGCUUUCUAUUUGCAGACUCAACAAGAAACUGA